AGCGAACGCUGGCGGCAGGCCUAACACAUGCAAGUCGAACGAACUCUUCGGAGUUAGUGGCGGACGGGUGAGUAACACGUGGGAACGUGCCUUUAGGUUCGGAAUAACUCAGGGAAACUUGAGCUAAUACCGGAUGUGCCCUUCGGGGGAGAGAUUUAUCGCCUUUAGAGCGGCCCGCGUCUGAUUAGCUAGUUGGUGAGGUAAAGGCUCACCAAGGCGACGAUCAGUAGCUGGUCUGAGAGGAUGAUCAGCCACAUUGGGACUGAGACACGGCCCAAACUCCUACGGGAGGCAGCAGUGGGGAAUCUUGCGCAAUGGGCGAAAGCCUGACGCAGCCAUGCCGCGUGAAUGAUGAAGGUCUUAGGAUUGUUAAAUUCUUUCACCGGGGACGAUAAUGACGGUACCCGGAGAAGAAGCCCCGGCUAACUUCGUG
rnacentral:rRNA from 1 species